UUGCUCUUAGGCAAAUCACAUUGUAGGAUUACAAUGAACUACCCAACAAAACAACAUUUGUUAGUUGGUAUAUAGAAGCGAUAUCCAAAAGUUCAUUUAAGGAUAUCCCACAAGAUUGUUAUCAAACAAAUAUUGCUUAUUAGCACAGAACCCCAAAUCUUAACAUGUUUUAAGAUUUUGUCUUUCUUUCCAACUACAUCUUAUGGAGUCAUGAAAAUAUUGGAAGAUCUUCUAAUUGACAAUCAUAUUGUCUUAGAAGUAUAUAUCCUAUAUAUGGGUAAUAGAUAACAACUAACGAACUAAAUCUUAUUCGAGUUCGUUCUUCUCCUAAUGGAGAAAUACAUUAUCUUAUGAUGCUAUUUUCCUUGAUAUUUUUCAAGGAAACUCAUCUAAAGUGUUACCUUUCCUUGGAUCAAAUCUAAGGAGGUAAAUACUUUAGAUGUCUUACUCAUCAACUUACAUUUCUUGAAUUCUUUGAAACAUUUUGCAAAGUAUUCGGGCUUGUGUUUAUUCAAAAUAAACUAUAGUCCAACCGAGAGUGAUCUUCGGUGAAUGUUAUCCAACAUGAGUAGUAUUAUGUUUGUGGACAAGUGCCACUAACAUCUAAGUGAAUUAACCUCAACAACUUUGUGAUUCUUUCUUCUUUCCAAAAGAAUAAAGAUUCGAACAUUUCGCCUCUAUAUAAUUUUAAGAAGAAGGUAUUGGAUCCGGAUCUAACGAUCCAAAGCGUCCAUCUAUGACCAACUC
rnacentral:lncRNA from 1 species